CUGCAGUUCAUGCUCUGGUGCCUGGAGACGUGAAUCAGAGCCUAGUUAUUAUAAACCAGAACAAAUAACUAAAUGGUGCUGCUCUCUCUGUGAUAUACGCUCCACGGUUGAGCUCUGAGUCUCAAUCUCUUGAUCUUCUCAAAAAACCAGGCAGGACCAGCAUCCUUCAUCCUUGCAGUCCUUGGGUGAAUAUCCCAACAAGCUGAAUUCUGUGGCACCAGCACCCUGUGUCCUCAUGGGCUGCUUCUAAAAGCCUCACUGGCUCAUGUAUCCAUGAGGUGUGGAUGGAUUCCUACUGACGUGUAGUGUAUCUCUUUUCUCACUGCACAUUAUUCUUUCAGGAUCCCCAGGCCACUCUGCAUACUUACAGUCCCAACCAGGAGAGGAAAGGCUCCAUCAUCGUGAUCCACAGAGGCUUGGGACAUUGUAAUAGGUAUCACUGUUCCCACAGAAUGUGCCAUUUAAGUACAAAGAAGGUCAAGAAGGAAGUGGCAUCAGAUUUUCACAGCAUGAUGGAAGAAGUAUUCAUCACUGGUGGGGUCUGAUUGCUCUGCCUCAUGUGCACACCUAGAGGAUGGUAGGAAGGGGCAGUUACAUUCCACAGACACUCUUGCUAAGCAAGCGUAUCUUCAACAAGGAAAAAGUGUUUGUACGUCCUUAAUGAAGUAAAAACACCACAGCAUUAUGCAGAAAUCAUCACUGAAAUCUAAGAGGACACAACAAUCUAAUGAAGUCACUGUUCUUUGCUUGAAAAUGUUAGCCUAGCAUUGUGAUGUUUUGAUGGACAAUAUGUAAUGAUCAUUUGAGUAUCAACUGUUCCAUUAAAAAAAAAAAAAAAGAGUGGAAAGAGGAGAUGUUGUCAAGGUGUGGUCUACUUGUAAGAUGCUAAAUGUACAUUUCACACAAUAGUACAUAAAAAUGUUAGAAGGGACUUCUUGAGGUCAUACAGCCCACGCUUCCAUUCAAAACAAGACCUACAGGCAUAUACCAAUGCAGAAUAAGUAGUUUUGGACUCAUCCAUCUAGGUUCUGGAGACCUCCAAGGAUAGAGGUUACACAACGCUUUCAGGAAACUUUUCUGAUGCUGCAUUACUUUCUUAGUAGUAACAAAUUUAUUGAUAUGCUUCAGUUCAAGUUUCCCAUUUGCUUUGGUCCUGUGAUGUUGACUUCUCCUUUGAAGGAGAUAGGCAGAUAGGCAGUGCAAGAUCUCUGAACAGAAGCAAGGUACUUACGGAUGGUAAGAACUUGUAGGGUCAAAGAAGUAAGAGCAGCUGUAACAACAGAGGCAAGUUACUUCGUAGAAGUCUUUGAUACAAGGUGGUGAUUGAACAUCACUCUUUACUAUCUAUCUCCUCUGCAGUCCCUCAGCCUGACUCAUCUAUACUCACUAUCAUACUAUUAUCUUUGACUACAGGAAGCUCAUGACACGAUGAAUAUGAAUUUAAGAAGUUAUCUGAUGGGAGAAGGCACAUGGCAACAUCUUAGAUAGCUGCAGUGUA
rnacentral:lncRNA from 1 species